GGAAGAUGUGCAUUUUUUUAAAUAACAAGGACAGGAAACUCAGGGAAUAUCUGGAUAAAGCAGGGAUUGGCCUGGGAUGUUCCAGAUGAAGACAGGGCUGCAGGCUUGCCAAAGGACCCCCCCGUGGGGAUGGUGGUCCUUUGGAUCAAGUUGUGGUCCAGGUACAAGAGGCACAUCAUCAGGAUUCUCCCCACAGUGGAGGCCUCCAGGAGACCAGAGAGAGGUUCUUCUUUUGACUUACAUCACCAUCUUAAAAAACAGCACUAUUACCCAAAGGACAAAUUAGCAGAGAAGAGGAAUGAGUUGUGCACAUUGGCACUGUGUCAACUUGGAACGAAGGGGAGCACGGAUAUUGUUCACAAUAUACCCCAAACCAAAUCGUCAUUAAAAACAAAAGCCAUGGCCGGGCAUGGUGGCUCACGCCUGUAAUCCCAGCACUUUGGGAGGCCAAGGCAGGCAGAUCACAAGGUCAGGAGAUCGAGACCAUCCUGGCUAACACGGU
rnacentral:lncRNA from 1 species